rnacentral:lncRNA from 1 species
UCCUUCAGAAGCUUCUUCUUGGCUUCUUCCAGACUUUCAAUUGUUCCCAGGUCGUCAUCUACUUUCUUCUUGGUAUCAGCCAACUAGGUUUUGUGUACGGACAAACAGAAAGCUCAGUAUUAAUGUACUCAAUUGGGGCCAGGCAUGGUGGCUCACGCCUGUAAUCCCAGCACUUUGGGAGGCCGAGGCGGCAGGAUCACUUGAGGUCAGGAGUUUGAGACCAGCCAGGCCAACAUAGUGAAACCUCAUCUCUACUAAAAAUACAAAAAUCGCCUGUCUGUAGUCUCGGCUACUGGGGAGGCUCAGGUGGGAGGAUCACUUGAGCCCAGGAGGUGGAGGCUGCAGUGAGCUGAGAUCACGCCACUGCACUCCAGCCUGGGCGACAAAGUGAGACUCUAUCUCAAGGAAAAAAAAAAAAGAACUCAAUUGGUUUUUGCCUUUGAAGAAAAAAAAAACCUUUUGUUUUUAAUAUUUUGAGAGAAGAAAAAUCAAUACUGUGAUUUUAAAACAAAUGAGUCUUAGACUGUCACUUAAUUUCUUAGCUAAUAGUCCAUAAAAUGAUGACUGGAUUGAAAUCUUACAUCGUUGACACAGUCCUAGGUCCUUAUUUUAAGGGCUUCCAGCAUUAUAACCAGCAUGUGGCUGGGUCAAGAAAAACCAUUUAAUGGGCUUAAUUUAGUACGACCUAAUUAACUGUCCCAAAUGGAGCUGAGACAGCCCAGCACAGCAGGGCCAGGAUCUGCUGAAGGCACACAUCGAGGCCACCGCGGCCUCCUAAAGAGGACGCACACCUGGGACUGCAGGGCCAGCACUUGCUUCUCCAGGUUCUUCCUGGCCUCCUCCUCCUCCUCCUGCUGCUCCUGAAGACUGUUCUUCUCCUCUUCCAGCUGCCGGAUCCGACUGCUCAGGUUUAGUUUCUGGCGUGUCUCCUCCUGAAGAAGCUCCUGUGUUUUUUUUUUAAAGGGCAACACUUCCAUUACAUUUAUCACCAAAACAAAUACACCUGUAUUAAAGAAUUCAUGUCGUACAAAAGAGACAGCCUCAAUGCAUGAGAACGCCCAGUGACAUUAACAAACACAGAUGAUUUAAAAACACACACGAUAACUUUGUAAAAGCUCUUCACACCAACACUGCUUCAGACUCAUCUCUGAAAAACGAAUGGCGGCGCCAUCCACCCAGGGGCCCAGGCUGGAGCCUCCAGGCAUCCCCGAGGCCUCCCCUCCUGCGUCCCCCACCACACCCCGCCUCUCCUCAGUCACGCCUGGAAUCCCUUCCUCUCCACCCCCUGCCCCGUCUUAGUUCAGGCCCUCAGCCCUUCGAACUAGGAUCACCUCUCCCGUCUUAGGCAUCCCUCAGUUAUCGUCCUUUGUAUUUCCUGCCAGAUUGACUUCUAAAAUAAGGGUGGAGACAUUAUCUAGCUCAUUCUGUAAGGAGCAGAAGAUUAAAUUCAACUCAAUAGUAAGCAAGCAGAAAGGGUCUAGAAACACAGCUUUUAAACAGAACACAGAGAAGAACUCGGCGGGAGUGUGAACCUGAAACUACCCAUUCAGUUAAGGAAGACUCACCACCAAGAGUCUGUUGCCUUCAAACGGAGCUCAAAUAAGUAGGUACUAGAACCUGCCUCCCUGGCCACCUUAAUAGUCUCUACCCAUGAAAAGGACAGGGGGCGGGGGGUCUCCUAACUGGUUUCCUACCUUCUUCUAUUUUUAUCAUGAAGAUACAAAAAUUAAAGCAAAGCCUCUGAAAGAGUGACUGUAUCCUCUGUGGGGAGGCUGAAGGCCAGCAGGUGCUUGAUUUUGGUCCUUCACACGAAUAUGCGUUAACCAUAUGUUUUGGGAGGAAAGUAUAAUUCACAUUCUUAUAGAACUUGAAGCUUCUAUAAAAGGGGUACAAGAAAGUUUUUUUUUUUUUUGAGAUAGUCUCACCCUGUCGCCCUGGCUGGAGUGCAGUGGUGCAAUCUGGGCUCACUGCAACCUUUGCCUCCUGGGUUCAAGCGAUUCUCCUGCCUCAGCCUCCCGAGUGGCUGGGAUUACAGGCGCUUGCUACCGCGCCCGUCUAAUUUUUUGUAUCUUUAGUAGAGACGGGGUUUCACCAUGUUGGCCAGGCUGGUCUCGAACUCCUGACCUCCUGAUCUGCCUGCCCCGGCCUCCCAAAGUGCUGGGAUGACAGAUGUGAGCCACCACACCCGGCUGGAAGUUCUUUUAGGUUUCAAAAAACUGGUAUUAUAUGUUCAUCAUGAAUAUUUAAGCUAUUUCUUAUGGUCAGAUUUAAUUAAUAAUAUUUUUUUCUUCGCAAUUAAUGAUAUUUCUAAAAUAUUUUCCAAACAAAUCUUUGUGGUAUAAGAUGCUUUAUAAUUUUUGACGACAGUGGGUGCUGGGAAGACGCAGAGGGACGCAGAGGGGCAGCAGGGCGCCGUGCGUUCUCGCUAGUCCUCGUCACACCGGCCAAGGGAGAGUGGACGGUGGCACAGCCACAGCAGAGCACAUGCUGUAACGCUUCCAUGGUCACUCUGUUUAGCAACAUCCUUCACAGAGCUCACACUUCAUCAGUCUUGGGAACAGUGUGGUGGGGAAGGGCUCCAAAGUCAAGAGGGACUCCUGCCUUCAGCACCAGCUCUAGAAGUUGCCAGGUAAGUCACCAGAGCGGGCAAGAGCCUUAGCUUCUUUGAGCCUCAGGUUCCUCACCUACCAGAGGGGUUGACUGAGGUUUAAAUGGGGAACAACGUACAUGGGAGCCUAGCACAUGCCUGGUGCAGCACAGGGGACAAGGAACUGUCACUCCCCUCCCUUCCCCGCCGUAGGCAGAGUUCAUAAUGCUGUUUCAGAGAUUUUCUCUUUUAGGAAUAGCUUUCCAGAUUGUGUGUGAGAGCACGCACACAAUAUUUCAGUACCUACACGUUAACACAGCAGGCCGGGACCACCCUCCUUCGAAAGGCCUGCUUGCGAUGUUGACCUUUGGCUGGUGUGUGGGAACUUGAAUUUAGCAAGAGUUCCCACUAUUUCCUGAACAAUAAGGGUGGCUUUUCUCUAAACUGUCCAUGUAAACAAUAUGGUCUAUGUUGAACACCUACGUUUCUUCUGGGAGUCUGCAAUUUGGGUUUAUGCUAGGCAAGAGGUGCCUAUGUAACCAGCCCCUAAUAAAAACCCUGGGGGCCGAGUCUGUAAUGGGCUUCUUGGAAGAAAACAUUUCACGCAUGCUGUCAGGACUCACUGCUGGAGGAAUUAAGCACGUGCUGUGUGACUCCGCUGGGAGAGGACUCCUGGAAGCUUGUUCCUGGUUUCCUCAGCACCUCAGCCCUCGUGCCCUUUCCUUUUACUGAUUUUGCUUUGUAUCUUUUCACUGUAAUAAAUCUUUGCCAUGAGCAGGCCUCUGUGCUGAGUCCUAGAGUCCUGGAGAAUCAUGUACUGUAGUGUGGUCUUGGGCCUCGGACACAAGACAGCUCUGUAAUUCUUUUUCAAUGUGGCAAUAUAGGAUGUACAUCUUUUCUUACCAAUAAGGACUCAUCGACUAUAUUGUUUUUGCUGGUUGCAUAGAAGUCCGUAUUAAACAUUAAAGUUAUUUCCAAC